UCUCUCUCUCUCUCUCUCUCUCUCUCUCUCGUUGUUGAUGUUUAUAUAUUCUCUCUACAUAUAGUCUCCUUCCUAAGGUCUCUCUCUCUCCAGUGUUUGGCUGAACACUGGAGGUAUAUACAUAUAUACUCUGUUUCUACACUCCAUACAGGACAGACUACACGAACAAAGUAUUCUGGUGAGAGGAUUUUUAUCAAAAUGGCGUUUCCCAACCAUCUGUCUCAAGAAAUAACGCUCGAGCAUUUCUCCCAACAAAUCGCUCAAUCUUCUCCGGACAGUACCGGAAAAACGCCCGAACACCACCACCACCACCACCACCCGCCUCAGCAACCACCGACGAGGCUCAACAUCGCCAGUCUCCGCCAGCCGAGCCACUACGAUCUGCAAACCAACUCCGGUUCGACCACCACGAUGGCAUCAAACCAGUGGCUCUCGAGAGCAAUCCUCCAGCGGAGCAUUAGCAACGUGUCGAACGAUUCGAUGAUGUCGGCCGAUAUAAACGUCGAUAACGAUGAUAACAGAGUAGUUGGAAGCAAACAGGUGGAGAACAACGGAGGAGCAGGAGUAGGAGGAGGUGGUGGUGGUGGAGUGGUAAAUUGGGAGAAUGCGAGGGAGAAAUCGGUAAUUUUAACGCAUCCGCUGUACGAGCAGUUGUUAUCGGCGCAUGUGGGGUGCUUGAGGAUAGCGACGCCGGUGGAUCAACUGGCGAGGAUAGACGCGCAGCUGGCUCAGUCGCAGCACGUGGUGGCUAAGUAUUCGUUUCAGCUGGGUCAUGGGAAUGUUGGCGGCCAGGAUGAUAAGGAGCUCGAUCAGUUCAUGACGCAUUAUGUGCUGUUACUAAGUUCCUUUAAAGAACAACUACAACAACAUGUACGUGUACAUGCAAUGGAAGCAGUGAUGGCUUGCUGGGAGAUUGAGCAAUCUCUACAAAGCUUAACAGGCGUUUCUCCUGGAGAAGGCACGGGAGCCACAAUGUCUGACGACAAUGAUGACCAAAUAGACAGUGACACCAACUUUUUUGAUGGAAGUUUGGAAGGCCAUGAUAGUAUGAAUUACGGUCCUCUUGUCCCAACAGAGAGCGAGAGGUCCUUGAUGGAGCGAGUAAGGCAAGAGCUGAAGCAUGAACUCAAAGAGGGUUACAAGGAGAAAAUUGUGGAUAUAAGGGAGGAAAUCCUGCGGAAGAGAAGGGCAGGGAAACUCCCAGGUGAUACAACAUCUGUCUUAAAGGCUUGGUGGCAAACACAUGCAAAGUGGCCAUACCCUACUCAGGGUUACUUGGUAACUUUUCAGGAGGAAGACAAAGCAAGAUUGGUCCAGGAAACAGGCUUGCAAUUGAAGCAGAUAAACAACUGGUUUAUUAAUCAGAGGAAGAGGAAUUGGCACAGCAAUCCUUCCACUUCCACGGCCUUGAAGUGCAAGCGCAAAAGUAAUGCAGGUGACAAGAGCAGUGAUUGUUUCACAUGAGUGAAGAAAAAUUCCGGAGAAAGGACAAUCAACAGUGGUCUCUCUCCAAUCUCCAUGCUUCCACUCCAGGGAAAUCCAGCAUUGGUCCAUUUAUAUACUAACACAUAAAUAGGACAGUAAAAUGUGAAGGGCUAUCUUCGUUAAUGAGGAAACAAUAAAGAAAGGACUCAUACCACUCUCCAGGUAUAUGUACUGUAUCAUGUCUGGUAUGAGUAGAUACGGUUGUGGUAGGACAGAGUGGGCGAUAUGCAUGCUAGCAACAAUUGAUGAUUAUGAUUAUAUUGGUAGCAGGGUGAUGAAGAAGGUUUUUCACAUGGCGGGGUGAAGGUCUCGGGCUUAGUCUUUGAUGAAUAAGUUGAAAGAGUACUUCAUAGAAUUUUAAACCUUGGGGUGUGGCUCUCCUGUGCACAAACUUGUGUGUUCUAAUUUCAGUUUUUCCUUGGGGAACUGCGACUGAAAAUCUAAGCAUUAGGCCAGGAACAUUUUUAGUUUG